rnacentral:rRNA from 1 species
ACGUAGGGGGCAAGCGUUAUCCGGAAUUACUGGGUGUAAAGGGAGCGUAGGCGGCAUGGUAAGUAAGAUGUGAAAGCCUUGGGCUUAACCUGAGGAUUGCAUUUUAAACUAUCAAGCUAGAGUACAGGAGAGGAAAGCGGAAUUCCUAGUGUAGCGGUGAAAUGCGUAGAUAUUAGGAAGAACACCGGUGGCGAAGGCGGCUUUCUGGACUGAAACUGACGCUGAGGCUCGAAAGCGUGGGGAGCGAACAGG